GGGCGCGCUCCUGAGUGGCCGGGUGCGGGCUCUUAAAGCGGCGCUACGGAAGGUACAUGUGCGCGUGCCCUAACCCGCGCCACCGGCCCAGUCCGCCUCACGUUGUAGCCCACCCCAUCUCCUCACCUGGGCGCUUGUCUCCCUCGACUCCCUCCACUCUUCUAUUCCGCCCCACACGCCCCUCACCUCGGCCUCAGUCCAGCAGGUGCUAGCAGCAGCAGGUGGCCAGAUCUCAGAGCAUCUCCCUGUGGCUGUGGCACUUCUGGUUCUCUGCUGUCCGGGGGAAAGGCUGGUUUAGAAAGGUGUUCCUGGCGGAAUACAGGCCUCUGAGGAAAAUGGUGACUCUGAAAACGAUGGAGAGGUCAGAGCUACGGGAUGGGACCUCACAGAAAGAGACCUCAGAUUACUUAGGCUGCUGCUGGACAUGGAUGGGUUUGUGAAGAUGACCAUUUUAGCCUCUGCAAAGAAAGUGUCUGAUUGUUCACUUGGGUCGCUCUGCUGCCAUCUCAGGGCAUGGACACUUGCCAGGUAUAGAAGAGCAAGAAACUCCAAACAAGCUACCUUCAGCCUGGAGAAAGAAGGGAAGGACAGGUUGUCUCAUCCUCCCUCGUAGUGCACUACUGCCCCAGAGACAAUUCAGAGGUGACCAAACAUGCAUGUGGGAGCCUAAAACAUACUACGAUUAGGCUGCAGACUACAUCAUCACCAAGUUCUGAACAAACAAGAUUGAAUCUAGUGCUCCAGAAAGAAAUCUUGAAAAUUACUACUCUGCCUGAAAAACGAGUAAGUAAACUGUGAAAAGCUAACUUUUGGAAGCCCCCCGAACUACUAAACUAUAAAGAAAGGAGCUAGUUUCUAUCUUUAACAAAAUGGCAAAAGUGUGGGAAUGCCCACGACUUUUCAUUGUAAAUUGUAAAAUAGCCAAUUAGCCACCCCUACAACUCUGCCCCUGGUCCCCAAACUCAUGGAUUAAUUUCCCAAGAGAAUGGAAGAGAUUUGAAGGAGCUUUUCCAAACCUAGGCCAAUUACUGAAUUUGUUGAAACAUGGAUUAUGUAUUGAAAUUAACUAGAAUGGCACCUUUGGAAUCACUGUCAACUUCAGAUUAUUACAGGUCAACAGUUCAUUGGGUUCUAUUUUAUUUUGCAAUUAUGUAAAUUAAACCACUUGAGCUACAGAGUAAGAUUAUUUAAAAUGGCAUUGGCAUGUACAAUAAAGUAAAACAUGUUUAAAUAUGAAUCCUGGACAAUGGCUGUGACUACAUCAGAGCCCAGAUCUCUAAAAAGGAACCUUAUAGUUAAUGAGAAACAGGCCCUUUAUCUUAAAAUGUCCUGCCAGUGCUACCACUGGUGCAGCUCCGCUGUCAUGGCUGGACUAGCGUGGACCUGCUGAUGCAGCUUUCAUUAGAAUGUUAGCUAACCCUGCUCAAAAUGCCAACACCCAGAAGUGGCCCGUGUACGUUAGCAUUCCCGCUAUUGGCACUACACCAGUAGUAACAAUGAUGAGAAAUUAUAAAAGGGGGGAAAAUCUACUGUAAAGAAGGCCAGGGGACCUGAUCUUGCUUCCACUGAAAUCAGUGGCAAGACUCCCACUGACUUUAGUGGAAAUUGAAUCAAGUCCUAACUGAUUAGAUACAAACUAUUUCUCAGAUAAAGUUAUACCAAAUAGAAUUCCCAUUCUGAUUCCCAGGAGAGCCAAAAGCUUGAUCCUGCCAAAAGUCAUUGAAAGUUUUAUCACUGACUUCAGCGAGAGCCGAAGGAAGCCCAAAAUGUUACAUCUGUUUAAUUAUUAUUUUACACCAAAACUAAACUACAUUUUAAAAAUUAAAAACACAAAACCAAAACCAAACAGAUAUAUUCCUGACCUGAAGCUUUGUAUAACUUUUAACCCAAGAAGAGAAUUUUUUUCAGUAGAUUUAGGGCCCUGUGAAAAAUUGGAUUUAUAUUGGAAGUGCACACAUAACCUUAGCUAUAACAUCACAAAGGUCUUGUAAAAGAAAAUGCCAAAUGUUACUCUUUAAAUAUCUUAGAUUUAUUUCAGACUAAUUUUAAUGUUUAAAAAAAAACCCAACAACCUUUAAUUAUUCAGCUUCAAAUGCAUUUCAUAUCAACUGUAUUCCCCGUUUUUUACCUUUCUUCAAAGUACACACAGUCCAGGCAUAGUCAGUGACCAGGUUCCAUUCGGAGGGAUAUUAAGUAUUUGGGAGGAAUUGUAUUCGUUUCA